rnacentral:rRNA from 1 species
GGUGAACGCUGGCGGUAGGCCUAACACAUGCAAGUCGAACGGCAGCACAGUAAGAGCUUGCUCUUACGGGUGGCGAGUGGCGGACGGGUGAGGAAUACAUCGGAAUCUACUUUUUCGUGGGGGAUAACGUAGGGAAACUUACGCUAAUACCGCAUACGACCUACGGGUGAAAGCAGGGGAUCUUCGGACCUUGCGCGAUUGAAUGAGCCGAUGUCGGAUUAGCUAGUUGGCGGGGUAAAGGCCCACCAAGGCGACGAUCCGUAGCUGGCCUGAGAGGAUGAUCAGCCACACUGGAACUGAGACACGGUCCAGACUCCUACGGGAGGCAGCAGUGGGGAAUAUUGGACAAUGGGCGCAAGCCUGAUCCAGCCAUACCGCGUGGGUGAAGAAGGCCUUCGGGUUGUAAAGCCCUUUUGUUGGGAAAGAAAAGCAGCAGGUUAAUACCCCGCUGUUCUGACGGUACCCAAAGAAUAAGCACCGGCUAACUUCGUG